rnacentral:rRNA from 1 species
GAUGAACGCUGGCGGCGUGCCUAAUACAUGCAAGUCGAGCGAACGGACGAGAAGCUUGCUUCUCUGAUGUUAGCGGCGGACGGGUGAGUAACACGUGGAUAACCUACCUAUAAGACUGGGAUAACUUCGGGAAACCGUAGCUAAUACCGUAUAAUAUUUUGAACCGCAUGGUUCAAAAGUGAAAGACGGUCUUUCUGUCACUUAUAGAUGGUUCCGCGCUGCAUUAGCUAGUUGGUAAGGUAACGGCUUACCAAGGCAACGAUGCAUAGACGACCUGAGAGAGGGAUCGGCCACACUAGAGCGGAGACGCGGUCAAGACUACUAAGAGAGGCAGCAGUAGGGAAUGUGCCGCAAUGGGGGAAAGCAUGGCGGAGCAACGCGGAGUGAGUGACGGAGGUAUUCGGAUCGUAAAAAUCUGUUAUUAGGGAAGAACAUAUGUCUAAGUAACUGUGCACAUCUUGACGGUAACUAAUCAGAAAGCCACGGCUAACUACGUG